GUUAUCCAGAUAUGAGACACUUCAUAAAAACUCUGAAUCAAUAUUAGUAAACAAUAAACAAGUCUGCAAAACAAACAAACAAACAACCAGUAGGACCAACAGCCUUCUUCAAGAGGAGGUUCAGGGCCAGUUUUAGGACCAGUAGGACCAACAGCCUUCUUCAAGAGGAGGUUCAGGGCCAGUUUUAGGUCCAACAGUAGCCAGCUUCAAGAGGAGGUUCAGGGCCAGUUUUAGGACCAGUAGGACCAACAGCCUUCUUCAAGAGGAGGUUCAGGGCCAGUUUUAGGACCAGUAGGACCAACAGCCUUCUUCAAGAGGAGGUUCAGGGCCAGUUUUAGGACCAGUAGGACCAACAGCCUUCUUCAAGAGGAGGUUCAGGGCCAGUUUUAGGACCAGUAGGACCAACAGCCUUCUUCAAGAGGAGGUUCAGGGCCAGUUUUAGGACCAGUAGGACCAACAGCCUUCUUCAAGAGGAGGUUCAGGGCCAGUUUUAGGUCCAACAGUAGCCAGCUUCAAGAGGAGGUUCAGGGCCAGUUUUAGGACCAGUAGGACCAACAGCCUUCUUCAAGAGGAGGUUCAGGGCCAGUUUUAGGACCAGUAGGACCAACAGCCUUCUUCAAGAGGAGGUUCAGGGCCAGUUUUAGGACCAGUAGGACCAACAGCCUUCUUCAAGAGGAGGUUCAGGGCCAGUUUUAGGACCAGUAGGACCAACAGCCUUCUUCAAGAGGAGGUUCAGGGCCAGUUUUAGGUCCAACAGUAGCCAGCUUCAAGAGGAGGUUCAGGGCCAGUUUUAGGACCAGUAGGACCAACAGCCUUCUUCAAGAGGAGGUUCAGGGCCAGUUUUAGGACCAACAGUAUCCAGCUUCAAGAGAAGAGUCUGGGCCAGUUUUAGGACCAACAGCCUUCUUCAAGAGGAGGUUCAGGGACAGUUUUAGAACCAACAGCCUUCUUCAAGAGGAGGUUCAGGGCCAGUUUUAGAACCAGUAGGACCAACAGCCUUCGUCAAGAGGAGGUUCAGGGCCAGUUUGAGAACCAGUAGGACCAACAGCCUUCUUCAAGAGGAGGUUCAAGUUUUCGGUCCAACAGUAGCCAGCUUCAAGAGGAGGUUCAGGGCCAGUUUUAGGACCAACAGUAUCCUGCUUCAGGAGGAGGGUCAGGGCCCGUUUUAGGUCCAACAGUAUCCUGCUUCAGGAGGAGGUUCAGGGCCAGUUUUAGGACCAACAGUAGCCAGCUUAAAGAGGAGGUUCAGGGCCAGUUUUAGGACCAGUAGGACCAACAGCCUGCUUCAGGAGGAGGUUCAGGGCCAGUUUUAGGACCAACAGCCUGCUUCAGGAGGAGGUUCAGGGCCAGUUUUAGGACCAGUAGGACCAACAGCCUGCUUCAGGAGGUGGUUCAUGGCCAGUUUUAGGACCAACAAUAUCCUACUUCAGAAGGAGGUUCAGAGCCAGUUUUAGGACCAACAGUAUCCUGCUUCAGGAGGAGGUUCAGGGCCAGUUUUAGGACCAACAGUAUCCUACUUCAGGAGGAGGUUCAGAGCCAGUUUUAGGACCAGUAGGGCCAACAGUAUCCUGCUUCAGGAGGAGGUUCAGGGCCAGUUUUAGGACCAACAGUAUCCUACUUCAGGAGGAGGUUCAGAGCCAGUUUUAGGACCAGUAGGGCCAACAGUAUCCUGCUUCAGGAGGAGGUUCAGGGUCAGUUUUAGGACCAGUAGGACCAACAGUAUCCUGCUUCAGGAGGAGGUUAAGGGUCAGUUUUAGGACCAACAGUAUCCUGCUUCGGGAGGUGGUUCAGGGCCAGUUUUAGGACCAGUAGGGCCAACAGUAUCCUGCUAAAGGAGGAGGUUCAGGGCCAGUUUUAGGACCAACAGUGUUCUGCUUCAGGGGGAGGUUCAGGGCCAGUUUUAGGACCAACAGUAUCCUGCUUCAGGAGGAGGUUCAGGGCCAGUUUUAGGACCAACAGUAUCCUGCUUCAGGAGGUGGUUCAGGGCCAGUUUUAGGACCAACAGUAUCCUGCUUCAGGAGGUGGUUCAGGGCCAGUUUUAGGACCAACAG